rnacentral:rRNA from 1 species
GAUGAACGCUAGCGGGAGGCUUAAUACAUGCAAGUCGAACGGUAAGGCCCCUUCGGGGGUACACGAGUGGCGCACGGGUGCGUAACGCGUACAUAACUUACCCUGAAGAGGGGGAUAGCCUCGGGAAACUGAGAAUAAUACCCCAUAGUAACUAUAAAGUACAUACUUAAUAGUUUAAAGUUCCGGCGCUUCAGGAUAGGUGUGCGUAUGAUUAGCUAGUUGGUAAGGUAACGGCUUACCAAGGCUACGAUCAUUAGGGGGCGUGAGAGCGUGAUCCCCCACACGGGCACUGAGACACGGGCCCGACUCCUACGGGAGGCAGCAGUAAGGAAUAUUGGGCAAUGGAGGCAACUCUGACCCAGCCAUCCCGCGUGCAGGAUGACGGCCCUAUGGGUUGUAAACUGCUUUUCUGCAAGAAGAAUAGCAAGCAUUUAUGUUUGUAUGACGGUAUUGUAGGAAUAAGCACCGGCUAACUCCG